UACGGAGGGUGCGAGCGUUAUUCGGAUUUACUGGGCGUAAAACGCGCGUAGGCGGUUCGAUAAGUCUGGUGUGAAAGCCCUGGACUUAAUUCAGGAAGUGCAUUGGAUACUGUCGAACUGGAGUGCAGGAGGGGAGAGCGGAAUUCCUGGUGUAGAGGUGAAAUUCGUAGAUAUCAGGAGGAACAACAGAGGCGAAGGCGGCUCUCUGGACUGCAACUGACGCUAAGGCGCGAAAGCGUGGGGAGCAAACAGG
rnacentral:rRNA from 1 species